UUAUGAAAUACAACGUGACAAUGAAUAUAAUAGAAUACAGCAAGAUAUUGAAAUACAAUGGAAAAAAAGAGAAACACAUGGAAAUACAGCGAGAUACAUUGAAAUAUGUUAACAAAAAAUUCAAACACAGCCCCAAACUUCGUCUUAUUUGUUCAAAAACAACUCUAACGUCGUUUUGUUGAGAGGGCCAUGAUUCUGAUUCAAAGCGCCACUAUUCCCGUUACCAUAAUACCUUCAUGUGCGCUUCAAAAAACCUAUUCUUUACAAUUGAAUUUGAAUGGCGCUUGUGGAUUGGGACGGAAAACCCCAGAUUGGGCAGAACCCUUGAACAACGAAGAGAUGAGUAAGACGGAGAUUUAUGUAGGGUUUUGUUUCUAAAUUCCAGAUUGGUAAUAUAAUCUGAAGAGAAGAGGAAGACGCAGAACCCUAGAACCCUCAUAUUUCGAUCCGAGCAAUAAAUAAUUUUCUGGCAUUACAAUGCUUUCCUUAAUUUUUCUCUCUCAUUCCUAUUUCGAUCUGUAUUUGGGAGAAUUAUGGUUAUAUUCAUGAAGAAAGACUGAAGUUGAGAGAAAGAGAGCGGAAAAAAUUAUUUCCUAUAAAAGAGAUAUGUUAGUCGAAGACUUACCAAAAGAAUUUUGGGUUAGCAAAAAUGGAGUUCCAUUGACAGAAGUCUCCAACAAAGAAAAAUUGAGUUAGUUGGAGAAGAUGCCAAAAAAAAGGCAAUAUAAAAUGAAAAAAACGAAAAAAA
rnacentral:lncRNA from 1 species